AAGUCGUAACAAGGUCUCCGUAGGUGAACCUGCGGAGGGAUCAUUAACACGUGUAAAAACGUAUUAUAUACCCAUUUACCAACCAAUACCGUGAACUAUGUUUGAAACAACAUUUUUUAUUUUUCUUUGCUGUUACCGUCACUGGUUAUAGUGAAGAAAUGCAACCCUUUUCCAAUCUAAAUUUCUUUUUUUCUUUGUUAUUUUAACAGUAACAACAUAAAAAAUAAAAAUAAAAGCACAACUCUUAGCAACGGAUAUCUUGGUUCUC
rnacentral:misc_RNA from 1 species